CACCUCCAAAACCAUUAAAUUACUGGAAAAUCAAUAAAAUAUAUUUAAUAUUAGCAUGUUAGUACUAGUGUAUCGGUCUGUCAGAACAAACAAACCCUUUCUUCUCACUUGCAAUCGCAUCUUGCCGCUUUGCUUUUCCUUCGGUUGCGUCAACUUCUCACCGGCUGAUAUUCGCUUGUUACCGGCUGUAGUCCGUGUUAAGGAUUACUAGAGACUAGAGAUAUAUAAUUAUUGUUGCUGUUGGUGGUGGAUGAAGCUUUUCGACAAGUCAUUUGAACAUUAAAGAGUGGUGAAGAUUAAGGUUUUGGUAACUUUUUACUCAGGAAUAUAAAGCAUCUCAAAAUAAAUCCAAGUGCUACAAGACUCACAUUGUACUUGGUUGGUGAGGAUUUGUAUGUUUUUUUUGCAAAUCAAUACUCCUGAUUUUCAUUGAAGUAAUAUUUGAAAAAUUGGAGUCUGUUCUUAGAGAGGAUAGGGAGAUCUCUUAGCUACUUGUCGCGGUCUCUUCAAUAGUUGAUUAGCUAGUUAGAUGUUGAAUUAGAAGUUAGACAAUUUUUAUCUUUAUUAUUUUAGUGUAAUUGGCUAGUUUUGUCAAA